AUUGAACGCUGGCGGCAGGCCUAACACAUGCAAGUCGAACGGUAGCACAGAGAGCUUGCUCUCGGGUGACGAGUGGCGGACGGGUGAGUAAUGUCUGGGAAACUGCCCGAUGGAGGGGGAUAACUACUGGAAACGGUAGCUAAUACCGCAUAACGUCGCAAGACCAAAGUGGGGGACCUUCGGGCCUCACACCAUCGGAUGUGCCUAGAUGGGAUUAGCUAGUAGGUGGGGCAAUGGCUCACCUAGGCGACGAUCCAUAGCUGGUCUGAGAGGAUGACCAGCCACACUGGAACUGAGACACGGUCCAGACUCCCACGGGAGGCAGCAGUGGGGAAUAUUGCACAAUGGGCGCAAGCCUGAUGCAGCCAUGCCGCGUGUAUGAAGAAGGCCUUCGGGUUGUAAAGUACUUUCAGCGGGGAGGAAGGCGGUGAAGUUAAUAGCUUCACCGAUUGACGUUACCCGCAGAAGAAGCACCGGCUAACUCCGUGCCAGCCGCCGCCGUAA
rnacentral:rRNA from 1 species